GCCCACUCGAACUAGCAACUUUCUUCCCCUUCUUUCCCUCCUCACUCCGCCUCUCUUCAAGGCUUCCACUCGGCGUUUCUCGGCUUAUCAGUUCCGUGGGCCUUUCAUUCCCUGCCUUUUCGUGUUAUUAAAAUCCGCGAGUCCCCCGAAGCGUAAGGCCAGGGCGGGAGUCUGAAUAUAGCGUUACGAACCCUGCCUCAGCCUUGACGUCCUAAUGAAGAUGAACUUUAUACGAUGUUGCAGUGAAAAGGGGAGGGAGGGAGGGAGAGAAGUAGGAGGAGGGAAGGAGGCUGAGGGAAGGGAGAGAGAGAGGUAAGGAGGGAGAUAACUGGCAGGAGGAAGGGAGGAAGGAAGGAGAGUAAAGAGAGAUGGGGAGGGAGAGAUGAAGAAAGAAAGAGAAAGUGAAAACAGAUAGACAGGUAAACAGAUAGGGCAAAAAUAGACAGACAGACAGACAGAUAGACAGGCAAAUAGAUAGGGCAAAAAUAGACAGACAGACAGACAGAUAGACAGGUAAGCAGAUAGGGCAAAAAUAGACAGACAGACAGAUAGACAGGUAAACAGAUAGGACAAAAAUAGACAGACAGACAGAUAGACAGGUAAACAGAUAGGGCAAAAAUAGACAGAGACAGACAGAUAGACAGUUAAACAGAUAGGGCAAAAAUAGACAGACAGACAGACAGAUAGACAGGUAAACAGAUAGGGCAAAAAUAGACAGACAGACAGACAGAUAGACAGGUAAACAGAUAGGGCAAAAAUAGACAGACAGACAGACAGAUAGACAGGUAAACAGAUAGGGCAAAAAUAGACAGACAGACAGACAGAUAGACAGGUAAACAGAUAGGGCAAAAAUAGACAGACAGACAGACAGAUAGACAGGUAAACAGAUAGGGCAAAAAUAGACAGACAGACAGACAGAUAGACAGGUAAACAGAUAGGGCAAAAAUAGACAGACAGACAGACAGAUAGACAGGUAAACAGAUAGGGCAAAAAUAGACAGACA